GACAGAAGCCGGGAUAGCUCAGUUGGUAGAGCAGAGGACUGAAAAUCCUCGUGUCA
rnacentral:tRNA from 1 species